AGCGCAGUAGGGGAGUCAGGCCGUCCCCACCGGCCCCAUAAGCCGGGAGAUCGUGGGUUCGAAUCCCACCUGCGCGACCA
rnacentral:tRNA from 1 species